GGUCUGAUAGCAUAACAAGUUAGUGCACCUGCAUCAAAUGUAGUCUUUCCUUCAAACUGAUUUCUGCAGAAGAUCCCUGUUCAAUCCGGGGUCAGGCCA